rnacentral:rRNA from 1 species
UACGUAGGGUGCGAGCGUUGUCCGGAAUUAUUGGGCGUAAAGGGCUCGUAGGCGGUCUGUCGCGUCGGAUGUGAAAACCCAGGGCUCAACCCUGGGCCUGCAUUCGAUACGGGCAGACUAGAGUACGGCAGGGGAGACUGGAAUUCCUGGUGUAGCGGUGAAAUGCGCAGAUAUCAGGAGGAACACCGGUGGCGAAGGCGGGUCUCUGGGCCGUAACUGACGCUGAGGAGCGAAAGCGUGGGGAGCGAACAGG